UAUUUUUUUUGAAAUGGAGCCUCGCUGUCUCACCAGGCUGGAGUGCAGCGGCGUGAUCUCAGCUCAUUGCAACCUCUGCCUCCUGGGUGCAAGCCCUUCCCCUGCCUCAGCCUCCUGAGUAGCUGGGACUACACUGGGACUACAGGCACACGCCACCACAUCCAGCUAAUUUUUUGUAUUUUUAGUAGAGACGGGGUUUCACCAUGU
rnacentral:lncRNA from 10 species